rnacentral:rRNA from 1 species
GAUGAACGCUGGCGGCGUGCCUAAUACAUGCAAGUCGAGCGAACGGACGAGAAGCUUGCUUCUCUGAUGUUAGCGGCGGACGGGUGAGUAACACGUGGAUAACCUACCUAUAAGACUGGGAUAACUUCGGGAAACCGGAGCUAAUACCGGAUAAUAUUUUGAACCGCAUGGUUCAAAAGUGAAAGACGGUCUUGCUGUCACUUAUAGAUGGAUCCGCGCUGCAUUAGCUAGUUGGUAAGGUAACGGCUUACCAAGGCAACGAUGCAUAGCCGACCUGAGAGGGUGAUCGGCCACACUGGAACUGAGACACGGUCCAGACUCCUACGGGAGGCAGCAGUAGGGAAUCUUCCGCAAUGGGCGAAAGCCUGACGGAGCAACGCCGCGUGAGUGAUGAAGGUCUUCGGAUCGUAAAACUCUGUUAUUAGGGAAGAACAUAUGUGUAAGUAACUGUGCACAUCUUGACGGUACCUAAUCAGAAAGCCACGGCUAACUACGUGCCAACAGCCGCGGUAAUACGUAGGUGGCAAGCGUUAUCCGGAAUUAUUGGGCGUAAAGCGCGCGUAGGCGGUUUUUUAAGUCUGAUGUGAAAGCCCACGGCUCAACCGUGGAGGGUCAUUGGAAACUGGAAAACUUGAGUGCAGAAGAGGAAAGUGGAAUUCCAUGUGUAGCGGUGAAAUGCGCAGAGAUAUGGAGGAACACCAGUGGCGAAGGCGACUUUCUGGUCUGUAACUGACGCUGAUGUGCGAAAGCGUGGGGAUCAAACAGGAUUAGAUACCCUGGUAGUCCACGCCGUAAACGAUGAGUGCUAAGUGUUAGGGGGUUUCCGCCCCUUAGUGCUGCAGCUAACGCAUUAAGCACUCCGCCUGGGGAGUACGACCGCAAGGUUGAAACUCAAAGGAAUUGACGGGGACCCGCACAAACGGUGGAGCAUGUGGUUUAAUCCGAAGCAACGCGAAGAACCUUACCAAAUCUUGACAUCCUUUGACAACUCUAGAGAUAGAGCCUUCCCCUUCGGGGGACAAAGUGACAGGUGGUGCAUGGUUGUCGUCAGCUCGUGUCGUGAGAUGUUGGGUUAAGUCCCGCAACGAGCGCAACCCUUAAGCUUAGUUGCCAUCAUUAAGUUGGGCACUCUAAGUUGACUGCCGGUGACAAACCGGAGGAAGGUGGGGAUGACGUCAAAUCAUCAUGCCCCUUAUGAUUUGGGCUACACACGUGCUACAAUGGACAAUACAAAGGGCAGCGAAACCGCGAGGUCAAGCAAAUCCCAUAAAGUUGUUCUCAGUUCGGAUUGUAGUCUGCAACUCGACUACAUGAAGCUGGAAUCGCUAGUAAUCGUAGAUCAGCAUGCUACGGUGAAUACGUUCCCGGGUCU